rnacentral:rRNA from 1 species
GAUGAACGCUGGCGGCGUGCCUAAUACAUGCAAGUCGAGCGAACAGACGAGGAGCUUGCUCCUCUGACGUUAGCGGCGGACGGGUGAGUAACAAGUGGAUAACCUAUCUAUAAGACUGGGAUAACUUCGGGAAACCGGAGCUAAUACCGGAUAAUAUAUUGAACCGCAUGGUUCAAUAGUGAAAGACGGUUUUGCUGUCACUUAUAGAUGGAUCCGCGCCGCAUUAGCUAGUUGGUAAGGUAACGGCUUACCAAGGCGACGAUGCGUAGCCGACCUGAGAGGGUGAUCGGCCACACUGGAACUGAGACACGGUCCAGACUCCUACGGGAGGCAGCAGUAGGGAAUCUUCCGCAAUGGGCGAAAGCCUGACGGAGCAACGCCGCGUGAGUGAUGAAGGUCUUCGGAUCGUAAAACUCUGUUAUUAGGGAAGAACAAAUGUGUAAGUAACUAUGCACGUCUUGACGGUACCUAAUCAGAAAGCCACGGCUAACUACGUG